rnacentral:tRNA from 1 species
GGCCCCUUGGCGAAAUUGGCAUACGCGGCGGACUUAAAAUCCGUUUCCUUCGGGAUUCCCGGUUCAAGCCCGGGAGGGGCCACCA